rnacentral:lncRNA from 1 species
GAAACAUAAAAAAAACUUGAAAUAAUUAAAAUAUGUCUUAAAUUUGACGAAUUAAAACAUCUGGUUUUUCAAGUAAUAACAAACUUAGAAAGGAAACGUUAUCUAGUCAUGCAAAUUAAAGUAAAAUAAUUUCAAAGUAAAUGGUUCUUCCGACGACUUCCUAGCAGAGCAACUCCUUAUUAAAUGUUGAAUAAACAAUCUCUAAGAUCCAACAUCGCCUGAAAAUUUACGAUUGCACAUCGUAGGACCAAGACAGAAAGAAAAACAAGAAGGGUGAGAAACAAUUCAUAGGAAUAAUAAUGCAAUAGAAAAAGUAAAAGCGAACAAUAAUAUGAUCAAGACGCAUAAGAUUUUAAAAUCAUAUGUAAUGCACCUAGGACCCGACCUAUAUGCAUGUGAUACCAAACCUACACAUAAUUCAUGGGUAUCAUCUUAUGUUAUUGAAUAACGACGCAACUCAUCAUUAACACAUCAUUGAAAUGGACUAAUAAAUGUAUGAAUGCAUCAAUUACAAAACAAAGACACCUUUGGGAAUCUAACUCAUUACUAACACAUAAUUGGAACACGUCAUUAAUCACUUCAUUGAAACUCAUCAUUAACACCCAUCAUUAGGCAUAUCAUUAACUGAAAACACACUACGAACUUCAAAUCGAAAACACAACACAUGAAAGCAGUAAUGUAACAUAAUAUGAAUUGAAAUAACAAACACAACUCAUAUUUGACACACUAUUAGCCGUGAAUUUACCCACCCCCUUCCCUAAGGUUCGAUGUUGUUGAUGCUAUGGUGUUAUUGUUCUUUUCACUACCAAGUCCAAAUUUUCUCUCAGUUUUUAUCUGUUGCUCUUUUUUCAAUUUUGCUAAAAUCCUAAUUUAUUUUCCAACUCUUUUUAAUUGUUAUUUUUCUAAAAAUUCUCAUCUCAUUAUUUUUCAUGAAAAUCUAUUAUUUUGUUUCUAAGAUUAAAAAUAUAUCUUUGUAAAAUAUGUUUCCAAAACAUAUCCUAAAAUAAGUCAAAAUAUAUAUUAGAGCAUAUCUCUACCAAAAAUAUAUUUUUUUUAAACAAUACAUUUUUAAAAAAUAUUUAACAUUCUUAUAAGGCUAUAUUAAUUAAAACAUUAUAAUGACAAAAAAAAAAUGCUUAAACAUGAUAGAGAAAUAAUAUUUUACCUCAACCUCUUAAGGUAUUAUGUAUUUACAAAAACCAGCGACGCAAAUCAUUUUUAUACGACGAAGAUCCGGUAGUUUUUUAUAACAAUCUUCUUUAGUAACACAUUCUAUUUGUGCAACUGCAAUGUAAACAAAUAACAAUACAUAAAUAUUACUAAAAAGGGAUGAAAGAUUGUGUAUAAGACAAAAAAUAAAAGAAAUUAGAAUGAGCUUACGUACCUUCACCACCUUUGACUACAACUAGAAACAGAGACACAAAAAAGAUCAUUGUAAAAAAACAUUUUAGAAAUACAGCCAUUUUUCUGCUUGUAACAAAUAUAAAAGUGUUUGAUCACUUUAUAUAGUAAAAAAUUUCAUGCAAUGUUUUAUGUCAAUUAAAUAUUAUUUAUUAAACAUACCGAUGCAAGAAAUCCUUUGCUAAAAUUAGAAUAAUUAUUAAAUGUUUCUUAAAGUAAAUAAAUGUAUCAAAUUUGUCCCUUUAGCUCCUAGAAUAGAUUAAAAAAAAACAAUGCUUCUAAUUAGAGUUCAAUUUUGUUUAACAACUAUUAAUUAUUUGUUUAUUUCUUAUCUAACAUUUCACCCAAUUAUUUUUUAAGUCAUGAUUUUUUGAUCUACCUAGCACCAGGAAAGCCCCAAUUUUUUUUGUUUUUUGUUUUUUGUUUUUCACCACCAGUUUAAUCUGGUUCGGGUUCAGUUCCAACAUCAAGUGAUUCCAGUCCCUUCCUGAUCGCAUUUGUGUGGGAUCGAACUGUGGUCAUCCCUACCAAGUUCAACAUCAAUCACCACUGAACCAACUAACGAUUGAAACCAGGAACGCCCCAAUUGAUCCUCUUAAAAGAUUAGAUUCUGAAAUCGAUUAUAAAUCAAUACCUCCUACACCGAUGGUGGUUGUCUCAACCAAAAAGAUUCUGCAAUAGUGGUGGGUUUGGCAGUUGCAGCAUCAUCGUUGGUAGUUGUUGUGGUUGUGGUGGCGGUGUCAUGAUGUUGUCCAUGGCAGGGAGACAAAUGUUUUUUUUGUGUUUUCUUUACCGUGUCGUGAUGUUUUUGCGUUUUUUUUCAUGAUUUUGCGUUUUUUGCGUUGAAGAUGAACAAUUCAGUCACAAAAAAAUUGGAGAGAGAAUAGAGUAAGCGAGCAUGUCAAAUGAUAUUUUAAUUGGUGUUUAAAUCGCCAACCUUCAUAUAUU